rnacentral:rRNA from 1 species
AAAGAAACUAACAAGGAUUCCCCUAGUAACGGCGAGUGAAGCGGGAAAAGCUCAAAUUUGUAAUCUGGCGCCUUCGGCGUCCGAGUUGUAAUCUCGAGAAGUAUUUUCCGCGCUGGACCGCACAUAAGUCUGUUGGAACACAGCGUCAUAGUGGUGAGAACCCCGUAUAUGGUGCGGAUGCCCAGUGCUUUGUGAUAUACUUUCGAAGAGUCGAGUUGUUUGGGAAUGCAGCUCAAAUUGGGUGGUAAAUUCCAUCUAAAGCUAAAUAUUGGCGAGAGACCGAUAGCGAACAAGUACCGUGAGGGAAAGAUGAAAAGCACUUUGGAAAGAGAGUUAACAGUACGUGAAAUUGUUGGAAGGGAAACGCUUGAAGUCAGACUUGCAUUUUGGAGUUCAGCCGCAAGGUGUAUUCUUCAAUUCGCAGGCCAGCAUCAGUUUUCGGGGGUGGAAAAUCGCGGUUUGAAGGUAGCAGUUUCGGCUGUGUUAUAGCUUUCCGCUGGAUUCACUUUUGGGGACUGAGGAACGCAGUACGCUUUUUGCAAGAUUCUAGAGUCUUUCG